GACGAACGCUGGCGGCGUGCCUAAUACAUGCAAGUUGAGCGCUGAAGGUUGGUACUUGUACCGACUGGAUGAGCAGCGAACGGGUGAGUAACGCGUGGGGAAUCUGCCUUUGAGCGGGGGACAACAUUUGGAAACGAAUGCUAAUACCGCAUAAAAACUUUAAACACAAGUUUUAAGUUUGAAAGAUGCAAUUGCAUCACUCAAAGAUGAUCCCGCGUUGUAUUAGCUAGUUGGUGAGGUAAAGGCUCACCAAGGCGAUGAUACAUAGCCGACCUGAGAGGGUGAUCGGCCACAUUGGGACUGAGACACGGCCCAAACUCCUACGGGAGGCAGCAGUAGGGAAUCUUCGGCAAUGGACGAAAGACUGACCGAGCAACGCCGCGUGAGUGAAGAAGGGUUUCGGAUCGUAAAACUCUGUUGGUAGAGAAGAACGUUGGUGAGAGUGGAAAGCUCAUCAAGUGACGGUAACUACCCAGAAAGGGACGGCUAACUACGUG
rnacentral:rRNA from 1 species